rnacentral:lncRNA from 1 species
CAGGGCUUCUCCUGCUUCGGGUUACUCCCCAUCCUCGCCUGGAAUAUGCUCCUUUGAGCUUUGAGGUGAGGCCUCGUAUGUUUCCAACGGCGUAAAUUAUAUCGGGCUUAGCAUAAAUCGUCAAUUACAGCACAUGAUUAUUAUUAGGGAUUAUGUGGACGUUGGGGCAGGGCAUCAAUACAAGAAGAAAAACUUGGGACACGCCCGCGCCAAGCCCAAUCCGGCCAGGGGUCUGUUUUUUGUAUUUUAAACGCACUUUUAAGCGCCAGUUUUAGCCGUGUUUAAGCCACAAUCUGCAGCAGCAGCAGAAGAUGGGGAACUGCUUUUUAAAUUAUGGCCUAGACGGAGGAUGGGCAAAGGCAACAGCGGUCCCUGUGCCCCAACCUUUUGGCUAGACUUGAAGCGGGAAACAAACACAGAGACUGCGGGUACUGCUCUGUGUGCUCUUGGGCGCUCUGCUGCUGGCUGCAAACAGUAGCCAGAACACAGAAACAAAUCGUAGAUCGUGUAUCUAAUAUAAUUAAUACACCUUUCAUUAGAGUUAGCUGCCGACGUACUCUCCACUCCCACAAUCAAUUCGAAAUGCUCUGAAAGAGAAUUUUCAUUUUUUGGAAUCUACAAUUUUACGUAGAUCUUGUUGCUCAUAGAUGAUCUUCAUGCAAACACACACACACACACACACACAAUAUAAAUCAAUCAGAGGCAUACAAGUUCAUUGACAGCUCGCACAGCUUGCAUGGG